CCUACGGGAGGCAGCAGUCGAGAAUCAUUCACAAUGGGGGAAACCCUGAUGGUGCGACGCCGCGUGGGGGAAUGAAGUUCUUCGGAUUGUAAACCCCUGUCAUGUGGGAGCAAAUUAAAACGAUCGUACCACACGAGACAGAGACUGCUAACUCUGUGCCAGCAGCCGCGUUAAUACAGAGGUCUCACGCGGUGUUCGGAAUCACUGGGCGUAAAGCGUGCGUAGGCUGUUUCGUAAGUCGUGUGUGAAAGGCGCGGGCUCAACCCGCGGACGGCACAUGAUACUGCGAGACUAGAGUAAGGGAGGGGGAAGCGGAAUUCGCGGUGGAGCAGUGAAAUGCGUAGAUAUCGAGAGGAACACUCGUGGCGAAGGCGGGUUACUGGACAGUAACUGACGCUGAGGCACGAAGGCCAGGGGAGCGAAAGGGAUUAGAUACCCUGGUAGUC
rnacentral:rRNA from 1 species